GGGGGCGUCACGGCUUCGACGUGUUUCGUGAUGUCCGGGUUGCGUGCCGAAGUCCCGGGACUUCGUAAAUCCUCCGGGAAACUUUUAGCUGCCAACAACAACAUGGCGCUGGCCGCGUAAGCUUUUCGAAGCUUGACGCUGGACCCGUCACCGGAAUCGCCCGCCCGAGGCGGCCCCGGUCGACGUCGAUGAGUCGGGCUGGUUCGUGGUGAUGUCACCGCAUCGCGAGCGAGACAACAGGUGACUGGCUGCGUGGACCGGUCGUGUGCUGACCACCCGUAGUGAGAUCAACAGCACCCUACGCACGUAGAGACCCGGGUGGACCGUUUCGCGGACGCGGGUUCGACUCCCGCCGCCUCCACUC
rnacentral:tmRNA from 1 species